ensembl:misc_RNA 7SK 7SK RNA
GGAAAGACUUUCUGGGCAUUGACCACCAGGGCUGGUCAGCUGAUCUGGCUAACUAGGCAAAUAACCCCUUCCUUCUACACUUCCAUGUGUAUCUCUCCUGGAGCUACCUGCUGGGUGGAAGAGGAUGACCUGUCCCUAAUCAAGAAGGACCUAUCUUGGGUCAAGGGUACAGGAGUAGUCGCCUUCCCCUGCUAGGAGCCGAAGUUCAUGUUUUGCAUCUCUAGUGUUAUAAUUGAUGCAGAAAAGGGUGAGCCCAGAAAAAAAUGUUAAGUGAAAGGUUACUUU